UGUGUGUGUGUGUCGGGACUGUGAUGGAGCGGCAGAGGACGCAAGAGAGUUGGGCAGUGUUAAAGAUCUUUAGCGAGAUAAACAAUGACAUUAUGGGCAAAAUGCGAUCAGCAUGACUUCCUCCAAGCCGAUAGCGCCUGAAUAAGAGUUUCACGAAUAAGGAUUCGGCAGUGGAAGAGUUAAAACACAGUGAGCAAACAGUGCAGGAACUGGAGUGUAGCCUAUAAGCAGACUGCAGCGUGGAUUACACAGCAUUUAACCUACAAGCCUACAGCUGUCAUUUCCUCAGAGCAGUAUGAGUCUGCACCGACAUAAGGAAGGAGUCAUGGCGUCUAAUCCAUCAGUCCUUAUCAGUCCCUGCUGAGACCUGUGAUCAGCGGGAAUGCUCAGGUGACUUAACCCCUCCAGCUCAGAGAGAGCCCUCAGAGAUACAUGCACUAGUUAAACUCCCUACGCCAACACAAACCCUAGACUGUCCAGACGAAUCUGUCCACACAAACCAGACGGAUCAGAAUGAAAGCAAACAAGUCAUGGGACAUGGAGGAGAGGAUCAGGAAACAGGACUGAACGUGGACACUGAGAACAGUGGACAGAGGAAAGAGACCCAAGAUCUGGAUCCUGUGGAGAGGGAUCAGGAAAACCCCAAAACAUGCAGAGAUGUCAGAGAGCAUCGAGCACAAGUGUUAUCUCCAUCCCUCUCUCGCUUUAAUUUCUCUGUGGUGCAGUUCCUGAAAGCCUCAUUUGAAUAUCCUCAUCAUAACAGCCCUGUGGUGGAACCUCAAUUAAUAUGUUAAUGUUGCUGUUCAAGCUUUUUAAUUAGUGAAACUCUGUUUUGAAUGUUUGAGGGAACAAUUGCAGAACAGCUGUUGCCACCAGCUGAAAAGUAUGACAUUAGUCAAGUAUCCCCUGAUUGCAUGUAAAUCUGUAACAGACGCACACACACACACGCGCACACACACACACACACACACACACACACACACACACACACGCAGACACCUUCCAGUUUUUUCCCCCUUUCUCUUUCAUGUGUCUUCCCUUUCCCUCCCCCAACAUUGGUCUCUUUUUCAUCGAGGGUUUUUUUUCCAUCUCAGUAGACUGUUGAGGAACAUUUAGCUUUCAGACAGAAUUAUUCAAUCAUAACUGCAGGGCCAACAUUAGAUUUUAAAAGAGUAAUUAAAGUUAAAUACAGCACUGAUGAUCUACUCCUUCAGGAUAUGUUGUGAUAUUAAAUUAUUUAUGACUAGAGGGUCUCUCU